rnacentral:rRNA from 1 species
GUCUAUGACCAUGCCACCCUGAAAAUGCCCGAUCUCAUCUGAUCUCGGAAGCUAAGCAGGGUUGGGCCUGGUUAGUAAGCGUUAAAAAAAAAAAAAAAAGGCAUGUUUUAGCCA